UACGUAGGGUGCGAGCGUUGUCCGGAAUUACUGGGCGUAAAGAGCUCGUAGGUGGUUUGUCGCGUCGUCUGUGAAAUUCCGGGGCUUAACCUCGGGCUUGCAUCGGGUACGGGCAGACUAGAGUACUGUAGGGGAGACUGGAAUUCCUGGUGUAGCGGUGGAAUGCGCAGAUAUCAGGAGGAACACCGAUGGCGAAGGCAGGUCUCUGGGCAGUCACUGACGCUGAGGAGCGAAAGCAUGGGGAGCGAACAGGAUUAGAUACCCCUGUA
rnacentral:rRNA from 1 species